UACGUAGGCAGCGAGCGUUGUUCGGAGUUACUGGGCGUAAAGGGUGUGUAGGCGGUUGUUUAAGUUUGGUGUGAAUCUCCCGGCUCAACUGGGAGGGUGCGCCGGAAUACUGAAUGACUUGGAGUGCGGGAGAGGAGAGUGGAAUUCCUGGUGUAGCGGUGAAAUGCGUAGAUAUCAGGAGGAACACCGGUGGUGUAGACGGCUCUCUGGACCGUAACUGACGCUGAGACACGAAAGCGUGGGUAGCAAACAGG
rnacentral:rRNA from 1 species